rnacentral:rRNA from 1 species
GAUGAACGCUGGCGGCGUGCUUAACACAUGCAAGUCGAACGGAAAGGCCAGUGCUUGCACUGGUACUCGAGUGGCGAACGGGUGAGUAACACGUGUGUGAUCUGCCCUGCACUUCGGGAUAAGCCUGGGAAACUGGGUCUAAUACCGGAUAGGACAAUGGUUUGGAUGCCGUUGUGGAAAGUUUUUUCGGUGUGGGAUGAGCUCGCGGCCUAUCAGCUUGUUGGUGGGGUAAUGGCCUACCAAGGCGUCGACGGGUAGCCGGCCUGAGAGGGUGUACGGCCACAUUGGGACUGAGAUACGGCCCAGACUCCUACGGGAGGCAGCAGUGGGGAAUAUUGCACAAUGGGCGCAAGCCUGAUGCAGCGACGCCGCGUGGGGGAUGACGGCCUUCGGGUUGUAAACUCCUUUCGCUAGGGACGAAGCGUAUUUGUGACGGUACCUGGAGAAGAAGCACCGGCUAACUACGUG